CCGAGGGACCCCACCAGUGCACGAAUCCAUGCAUUAGGCCUCUAGUAAAAUCAUAAAUGUUUAGCAUUGCAACACAUCUCAGAGCUGCUUUCUGAAAAGGCCAUGUGACUUACUGGGGUUGGAUCAAGAACCUGGAUUUCUUGACUGUGUCCAUUGUCUUUUUGGCAGGCCAUGUACCCCUUAUAUAGCAGUUAAGUUAGGCAGACCAGAUUCUGCUUCGCAUGGAAGGACACAGAUUGCAGUCGCUGCUGCUUUUCGAUCCACUGCUGGCCAGGAAUGCGGUUGUGGCAUGGGAGCGCUGUUAGGAACAUGGUGCCAGUCCUGCGCCUCUGCACCCCGGCUGAUGCACCGCUGAAAGUGCCAACUUUGAUUUUUAUUUAUAACUUCCAUAUUCUAGCUAUAAGUCAGUGGGGAACGGGUUAGUAUAUUAGAAAUAUUUAACAUACAAUAAUUUUUGUUAAGUAACUUCUCAAAUGUAUAUUGAAUUAUAACAAGAAGUAAAAGAUUAGUGGAGUCAAAUAGUAAGGCCUAUGAUUAAAUGUUUUUGUGCAUCAGAA